AUCUUGCGCAAUGGGCGAAAGCCUGACGCAGCCAUGCCGCGUGAGCGAUGAAGGUUUUCGGAUCGUAAAGCUCUGUCCUUGGGGAAGAAGGCGGCCAUUUAUGGUCACUUGACGGUACCCAAGGAGGAAGCCCCGGCUAACUACGUGCCAGCAGCCGCGGUAAUACGUAGGGGGCAAGCGUUGUCCGGAAUUAUUGGGCGUAAAGGGUGCGUAGGCGGCCUUUUAAGUCAGAUGUGAAAGCCCACGGCUUAACCGUGGGAUUGCAUUUGAAACUGGAGGGCUUGAGUAUCGGAGAGGGUAGUGGAAUUCCCAGUGUAGCGGUGAAAUGCGUAGAUAUUGGGAGGAACACCAGUGGCGAAGGCGACUACCUGGACGAAAACUGACGCUGAUGCACGAAAGCUAGGGGAGCAAACA
rnacentral:rRNA from 1 species